CCAGUCCCAUCUGGCGCCAUGUUUUUUCUUACAGCAGAAUUCUUCAAUCUUUUCUCUCUGAGGAACACCUUUCAACAGUUCUUGUAACGUUGUUGUGUCUAAAUCCUGGUUGUGCUAGCACAAUGGGCUGUAGGUUGCUGAGAGACUGAAGAAGGUAAAGAUGACUUGUGGAAGUAAGGUUUACGAUGUACUUACAGAGGAAGGGGUUAAUUAGUACUCGCUAAUAAGGAAGGCUUCUGAAUGAGUGCAUUCAGGAGCAGUGGUGUUACUUGGGAUACGCAGGAGGACCCUACAGCACCCCUUGGCAAAGUCCCAUGGCGGGCGUGGCCUCAACACCGUGCUCCUCAGGUCCCAUGAGUGGCAUGUACACAGCCGUGACACUGCACGGGAAAUCCACAGGGAACACACUAUAGAACAGCCUCCCUCAGUAAAACCGCAAGGGCUGCAUACUUACUAGUAGCAGUCUUCACAGGGAAAGGAUUUUCUAGAUGAGGCUACCCAGGUAGUGACAUCAUUAACUUGCUUUAGUUCCGUUGUCUGAUCGGCAUUUCAAGGAACAGCUAACUUAGUAUAUGAGCAGGAAGGUGGUUUCCAUAGAUAAUGCUCGUUACCACUUCCCAGUGUCCUUGGGAUCACAGUCAUCUAGGCAGUUUGUUCUCUUAACUUGGCCAGAGUCUUGGGGUACAAAUGCUGUGUUUCAGGAGUUUGAUGCCAAAUGUCUUUUUCUCAGGGAAAAUACAUGCAUUCCCCAUGUACCUGAAUUCCUUUUCCGUCUCAUCCUGCCCGUCCUUUGCAAUAUCCUCUUGGUAUCUCCAAGAUAUACUUUGCAACCAAAUCCCACACUAGCAGUGUGAAAAGCAGUAGAUUGUGACAAGCCCUGCUAGGGGAGCAGGCAAAUUGCAGUAAACAUUUCUUCAGGUAGCAGGAAGAGAUUGUAACCAAGUAGAAGUAAGAUUGUUUAUCUGUAGCUAUAACAUGGUUUUGGAAUUUAUGGACUUAAAGAUGUAUUAUUGAUAGAGCAACGUUAUACAGUAAGAGAGGCCUUUGGCUUGCCUCCAUUUUUUUUUCCUUCCACAAAAUGUUCUAGAAAUGUAAGUUUGUGUGGCUGGGCAGCAUACCUGCCCAUUGUAUCAAAAUGUUUAGUGACUGUGUGACCACAGGGAUGUUCGUUAGCUCUGCGCCUUUCACGAAUGUUCUGUAACUGCCCCCCUGCGUCAGUGAGCGUGCUUGCCUACCCAGUAGACCCCUAUAUAAGGAGGCUUCCAUUUCUAGUCAAGCACUCAGACUUCAGAGUACGGGCUCUCUGAGCCUGCCAGAAUAAUAAAGGAUUUUCUCUGCCUCUUCGAGUGACCAUGGGAUUCUUGAGUCUUCAAAUUGUGAUAGCCAAGACCCAGAGCUGUGACACUGAGCUGUAGCACUCAGUUGUGCCUCAGAGCUGUAGCACUUGGCUGUGACACUUGGCUAUGGCACUGAGCCUGAGCUGUUCUUUUCCACAGCAUUAUGAGAAUUACUGGAAACACAAAGUUUUACUUUAUGAGAGUACAGGUGCCCCCGAGUGCAUUAGCAAACUAAUUGAGACUGUAAAACACUGGGCGGGCAUCCCCAGAAAGAUAUAGUUAUGCCCUUCUUUUCCCAAGUCUAUAGAGUGGUUGUCUCGUAUUCAUGAAACUGUUCCUAUUUGUAAGUAUCAGGCCCUGCAUUUUUUAAUGGCGGUUCUGUUCAUUCAAAUUCAGAGUGUCUCAGGACAAUCUUGGGCUUUGACUAGACCUUUGUAAUAGUUAUCAUAGGCACUCGGUGUGUGAACACUUUCUUUACAAGACUUUGGUUUUUGUAAGGCUGACGUAAGUGACUCCAUUUUGAUUUUGACAACUCCAAAGCUUUUCUUUAUAUUUCUCCCUUGUUUUUGUGCUUGUCUUUCUGAAGACACUGCUGAUCCAUCAUCCUGUGGUCACAUUGUUAACAUCCCCAUUGGUGUGAUAACAUUUUGGUUGCUGGUCUGAUUUCAUUCCACGGAAAAGCUCUGUGAGAGGAAAUGAGUGUGAACAGAAAGAAUGUAACCACCAACUUGUGCAGUAAAUGUUGGGUUUGCACAGCAUCGUGUGAACUCAUAAAUUAGUACGGAUCACUUCUGCUGUCUGUCUCAUCCUUCUUUCUGAAAACAUGUUUGGGAUGUUUUAGGAGGCAGUGACCUUUGAGGAUGUGGCUGUGAACUUCACUCAGGAGGAGUGGGCGCUGCUGAACCCUUCCCAGAAGCAUCUCUACAGAGCUGUGAUGCAGGAGACCUUCUGGAACCUGGCUUCUGUGGGUCAAAAAUGGCCAUACCAGACCAUUGAAGAUGUGUACAAAAAUCUCAACAGAAAUCUGAGAUGUCAAGUGCUGAAAAAAUUCUUGAAACAUAAAGAAAAUAGACAACACGGAGAAAUGUGCGGCAGGAUUCCAGAUCAUAGAAUGAAGAAGAAAAUUGGGGUGAAACGGCGUAAAAGCCAUCUGUGUAGAGAAGUGGCCAGUAGUCUUUCAUCGUUUCCGAGAGACAUAAUAAUUAGCCAUGGACACAGGCUAUCUGAGUAUCAGGACUGUACAGAGAGGCCCCAUGAAUGUAAAAAAUGUGAUAAAGCUUUUAAGUGGCCCUGUGACCUUCGAAACCACGAAAGGACUCACACUGGAGAGAAACCUUACACAUGUGUGCAAUGUGGGAAAACUUUUGCUUGUUCCACCUACUAUCGAAGACAUGCACAAAUUCACACUGGAGAAAAACCCUAUAGGUGCCAGCAAUGUGGGAAAUCCUUCCGGUGUUCCAGUUUCCUUGAAAUACAUGAAAGAAUCCACACUGGAGAGAAACCUUUUAUAUGUAAGCAUUGUGCAAAAGCCUUCACUCGUGCCAGUACUCUUCGAAUACAUGAAAGAAACCAUAGUGGAGAGAAACCUUAUGUGUGUGAGCUAUGUGGGAAAGCUUUCCGAGAGUACGGCAAAAUGCUUAGGCAUGGAAAAACUCAUAAUGAGGACCGACACUGUGCAUGUGAGGAAUGUGGGAGAGUCUUCAGGAGCUAUGGUUACUUGCAGAAGCAUAUAAGGAUUCAUGCUCGCGAGAAACCCUACAUAGAAGAAUGUGGAAGGCCUCUUCAUCCCCCAACCACUGUAGGUGGCUACAGCACACCUCAGGAUGCCUAGAGGAGGGCGUCACGUCCAGGUAGAUUGUGGAAAAGCCUCUAGCACCUGGGUUCCGUUCACGGGGCUGCAAGAACACAGUAUUGAAAAAAACAUCAUUAGUAAAAGAGAUCUGAAAAACUCUUUAGUUGGCCCAUGUGUAAGCAUGUACACUGGAUCGAAACUAUGUCAAUGAGACAAAUAAAAGAAAGCUGUCAAAUGUAAUAGUUUCAUUGUCUACAAAAACUCCUCUGUCUUGAAAGCCUAUGAAUGUAAGUAAUAUAAAAGCCAUAAUGCCAUACUUCAUCUGAAGAAA